rnacentral:rRNA from 1 species
AGUCGGAUGUGCCGCAAGGUGCAUGGCAGACGGGUGAGUAACGCGUGGGGAAUCUACCUCUUUGUGGGGAAUAACGCUCCGAAAGGAGUGGUAAUACCGCAUGAGAUCCAUGGCUGGGAUGCUGUGGAUGAAACCUGGGGACCGCAAGGCCUGGGGCAAGGAGAGGAUCCUGCGUCUGAUUAGCUAGUUGGUGAGGUAAUGGCCCACCAAGGCAACGAUCAGUAGCCGGCCUGAGAGGGUGAUCGGCCACACUGGAACUGAGACACGGUCCAGACUCCUACGGGAGGCAGCAGUGGGGAAUUUUGCGCAAUGGGCGAAAGCCUGACGCAGCAACGCCGCGUGGGUGAUGAAGGUCUUCGGAUCGUAAAACCCUGUCGUCAGGGACGAAGGUUUGGGCGUCAAUAGCGUUUAAGCUUGACGGUACCUGGAGAGGAAGCCCCGGCUAACUCUGUGCCAGCAGCCGCGGUAAUACAGAGGGGGCAAGCGUUAUUCGGAAUUAUUGGGCGUAAAGGGCGCGUAGGCGGCUUUUUAAGUGAGAUGUGUAAUCCCUGAGCUCAACUUGGGAACUGCAUCUCAUACUGGGAGGCUAGAGUACUGGAGAGGGUGGUAGAAUUCCACGUGUAGCGGUGAAAUGCGUAGAGAUGUGGAGGAAUACCAGUGGCGAAGGCGGCCACCUGGACAGUAACUGACGCUGAGGCGCGAAAGUGUGGGUAGCAAACAGGAUUAGAUACCCUGGUAGA